rnacentral:rRNA from 1 species
GACGAACGCUGGCGGCGUGCUUAACACAUGCAAGUCGAACGGAAAGGCCCAGCUUGCUGGGUGCUCGAGUGGCGAACGGGUGAGUAACACGUGGGUGAUCUGCCUCUAACUUCGGGAUAAGCUUGGGAAACUGGGUCUAAUACCGGAUAGGACAAUCGUUUAGUGUCGGUUGUGGAAAGUUUUUUCGGUUAGGGAUGAGCCCGCGGCCUAUCAGCUUGUUGGUGGGGUAAUGGCCUACCAAGGCGUCGACGGGUAGCCGGCCUGAGAGGGUGGACGGCCACAUUGGGACUGAGAUACGGCCCAGACUCCUACGGGAGGCAGCAGUGGGGAAUAUUGCACAAUGGGCGCAAGCCUGAUGCAGCGACGCCGCGUGGGGGAUGACGGCCUUCGGGUUGUAAACCUCUUUCGACAGGGACGAAGCUUUGGUGACGGUACCUUUAUAAGAAGCACCGGCUAACUACGUG